rnacentral:rRNA from 1 species
UGCCUACGGGGCGCAGCAGUAGGGAAUAUUGCUCAAUGGGGGAAACCCUGAAGCAGCAACGCCGCGUGGAGGAUGAAGGUUUUAGGAUUGUAAACUACUUUUGUUAGAGAAGAUUAUGACGGUAUCUAACGAAUAAGCACCGGCUAACUCCGUGCCAGCAGCCGCGGUAAUACGGAGGGUGCAAGAGUUACUCGGAAUCACUGGGCGUAAAGAGUGCGUAGGCGGGGUAAUAAGUCAGAUGUGAAAUCAUGUAGCUUAAAUACAGAAGUGCAUUUGAAAAUGUUACUCUGGAGUGUGGGAGAGGG